rnacentral:lncRNA from 1 species
CUGUGAAAAAUGAGAACAGAUCUCUGAAGUGGAUACUUCCCAGAGAGCUGGACCUAUUUACUUUAGGCUCCCUGGGCAUCCUACAGACUUUGAUUCAUUCAUUCACUCAUUCUGUCUGUCUGUCUAUCUGUCUGUCAGGUUUGAGACAUGGGUGAAGGGGCACAGCCUUGUCCCUCUCCUGCUGCUCAGGAUGGAAGCUCUUUCUAGAUUGCCAUCUUCAUUGGCUGGGCAUCGGGAGGCAAUUGGCCCCUCUCUGCUCCCCCUGCUGUGUGGUCCUGAUGCAGCCAUCUACACGUCUGAGCUUCAGUUUCCGUAUUCACUCAC